CCCCCAUCUCUCUCUUUCUCCCCCUCUCUUUCUUUCCCUGUCUCUCUCUCUCCCUGUCUCCCUGUCUCUCUCUCCCCCCAUCUCUCUCUUUCUCUCCCUCUCUCUCUCUCCUUCCUUUCUACUUGCUCCCUUCACCCUCCCCCUUUGCUCUCUUCCUCUCCUAGCCCUCACCGUCUCUCUCUCCCUUCCCUCUCGGGUCUGACCUCCUCCUCCCCCUGCUUCUCCUCUUUGUCUCCCCUCCCCCCGUCCCUCCCCCUCCCCCUGUCCCUCCCUCCCUUCCUCCCCCCUCUUCUCCUCCUACCCCCUCCUCUCCCCGCCCCCCCACGGCUCCCUCCCCACCUGUCUUCCCCUCUCUUCCCCGCCUUCCCUCAGGCCUCGCUCAGUCCCCGUUCCCCCCACCCCACACCCCCCUGCUGUCCCCUCUGAGCGGCCCCCCUCUCCUGCAUUUCCUCCCCUCCCCCUCUCCCCGCUUCCUUCUCCCCCCGCUCCCCCCCACGGCUGUCUCCCCUCCUGUCUCCAUCCCUCCUCCCCGUUGCCCCUCUGAGCGGCCCCCCUCCUGCACUUCCUCCCCUCCUCUCCCCUCUCUCUCCCUCUCCCUUCCCGCCUCCAUCUCUCCUCUCCUGGCCUCAGUCGCCUUCCCCACCCGUCCUCUUUCGCUCUCUCCCCAGUGGCUCUUCCCUACCCCUCCCACCUUCCCUUCUCCUUCCUCUCCCCUUUCCGGAUCUGUCGUCUCGCUCUCCGUCUUGGGAGGCCCCUCCCAGCCCCGCGUCCUCACCCCGCGGGCUCCCAGGGCCGCCCUCCCGCCCUCCCGUCCCAAGGUUCCCAAGUUCUGAGCUGACGGCCGAGUCUCCAACCCAGGGAUCCGGGGGCAGGGCUGUCAAGCCGGAGCCUCCGAGCUGGAAGCACCUACGUGACACCCAUUUUCUCUCUCUUUCCUGUCCGCCCCGGACUCUGGACGCUGCCUGGAGGGAUCAAGUCGGCCCCCCGUGAGGGAAACGAGGAACGGGCCCAGAGGCUGGAAGCGAGCUGCCUGAAGACGCCCAGCACGCGGCGUGGAGCACACCGGCAGCUGGGAGGACUUCGCCCACCGCCGACUCCACCGAUGAGGAAUCAGGUGCCAGGCGUGCCUGAAGACCAGCAUCCGCCAGGACGGAGACCUCAAGGGAGCCCCGACGGCGUUUCCAGAGGACCGACGGCGCCCCCCGCAGGGCCCUUCUCUCCGCCGAGACGGCCCACGUGGGUCGGCGAGAGGCCCCAGGAUCGAUCACCGGAGAGGCUCUCUCGGACUGCGGUCGUCCAUCGCCACCUACCGGCGGAAGACAAAACUGCAACCCAGCUCUAACAGACACUAGGACUGGUCGCCCCAGAGGAGGACAGUGCCUGGGGGUGAGGGGGGGCCUGGAGCGGGCGGAAAGAGGAUUUGCACAAUUCUGUAAAAAUCAAAAACUCUUCUACGCCUAACCGAUGUAUAAACAUCAUACUCAGCAA